rnacentral:rRNA from 1 species
UACGAAGGGGGCUAGCGUUGCUCGGAAUCACUGGGCGUAAAGCGCACGUAGGCGGAUCUUUAAGUCAGGGGUGAAAUCCCAAGGCUCAACCUUGGAACUGCCUAUGAUACUGGGGAUCUCGAGUCCGGAAGAGGUUGGUGGAACUGCGAGUGUAGAGGUGAAAUUCGUAGAUAUUCGCAAGAACACCAGUGGCGAAGGCGGCUCACUGGCCCGGUACUGACGCUGAGGUGCGAAAGCGUGGGGAGCAAACAGG